rnacentral:rRNA from 1 species
AGUGAACGCUGGCGGUAGACCUAACACAUGCAAGUCGAACGGCAGCACAGUAAGAGCUUGCUCUUACGGGUGGCGAGUGGCGGACGGGUGAGGAAUACAUCGGAAUCUACUUUUUCGUGGGGGAUAACGUAGGGAAACUUACGCUAAUACCGCAUACGACCUACGGGUGAAAGCAGGGGAUCUUCGGACCUUGCGCGAUUGCAUGAGCCGAUGUCGGAUUAGCUAGUUGGCGGGGUAAAGGCCCACCGAGGCGACGAUCCGUAGCUGGUCUGAGAGGAUGAUCAGCCACACUGGAACUGAGACACGGUCCAGACUCCUACGGGAGGCAGCAGUGGGGAAUAUUGGACAAUGGGCGCAAGCCUGAUCCAGCCAUACCGGGUGGGUGAAGAAGGCCUUCGGGUUGUAAAGCCCUUUUGUUGGGAAAGAAAAGCAGCAGGUUAAUACCCCGCUGUUCUGACGGUACCCAAAGAAUAAGCACCGGCUAACUUCGUG